rnacentral:rRNA from 1 species
CUACCAGGGUUUCUAAUCCUGUUUGCUCCCCACGCUUUCGCACCUCAGCGUCAAUACCUGUCCAGCGAGUCGCCUUCGCCACUGGUGUUCUUCCGAAUAUCUACGAAUUUCACCUCUACACUCGGAAUUCCACUCGCCUCUCCAGGAUUCUAGCCUAGCAGUUUCAAAGGCAGUUCCGGGGUUGAGCCCCGGGAUUUCACCCCUGACUUGCUGAGCCGCCUACGCGCGCUUUACGCCCAGUAAUUCCGAACAACGCUAGCUCCCUCCGUAUUACCGCGGCUGCUGGCAC